rnacentral:rRNA from 1 species
CUGAGGAAGAAAGCAGGGGACCAUUUGGCCUUGCGCUGUUUGAGCGGCCGAUAUCUGAUUAGCUAGUUGGUGGGGUAAAGGCCUACCAAGGCGACGAUCAGUAGCGGGUCUGAGAGGAUGAUCCGCCACACUGGGACUGAGACACGGCCCAGACUCCUACGGGAGGCAGCAGUGGGGAAUUUUGGACAAUGGGCGCAAGCCUGAUCCAGCCAUGCCGCGUGUCUGAAGAAAGGGCUUCGGGUUGUAAAGGACUUUUGUCAGGGAAGAAAAGGGCGGGGUUAAUACCCCUUCUGAUGACGGACCUGAAGAAUAACACC